CCCUUAGAUGUUCUGGGCCGCACGCGCGCUACACUGACGAAUGCAACGAGCUUAUAACCUUGGCCGAAAGGUCUGGGUAAUCUCCAAAUUUCGUCGUGAUGGGGAUAGAUUAUUGCAAUUAUUAAUCUUGAACGAGGAAUUCCUAGUAAACGCAAGUCAUCAGCUUGCAUUGAUUACGUCCCUGCCCUUUGUACACACCGCCCGUCGCACCUACCGAUCGAAGGUAAUGAUGAGCCCUCAGGAUUGUGGCCUCGUCGCGUCAGCGUCUUGGCUGCGAGAAUCUGUGCAAAUCCCUACCUUUAGAGGAAGGUGAAGUCGUAACA
rnacentral:rRNA from 1 species